GAUGAACGCUGGCGGCGUGCCUAAUACAUGCAAGUCGAGCGAACGGACGAGAAGCUUGCUUUUCUGAUGUUAGCGGCGGACGGGUGAGUAACACGUGGAUAACCUACCUAUAAGACUGGGAUAACUUCGGGAAACCGGAGCUAAUACCGGAUAAUAUUUUGAACCGCAUGGUUCAAAAGUGAAAGACGGUCUUGCUGUCACUUAUAGAUGGAUCCGCGCUGCAUUAGCUAGUUGGUAAGGUAACGGCUUACCAAGGCAACGAUGCAUAGCCGACCUGAGAGGGUGAUCGGCCACACUGGAACUGAGACACGGUCCAGACUCCUACGGGAGGCAGCAGUAGGGAAUCUUCCGCAAUGGGCGAAAGCCUGACGGAGCAACGCCGCGUGAGUGAUGAAGGUCUUCGGAUCGUAAAACUCUGUUAUUAGGGAAGAGCAUAUGUGUAAGUAACUGUGCACAUCUUGACGGUACCUAAUCAGAAAGCCACGGCUAACUACGUG
rnacentral:rRNA from 1 species